UAAAAAUCCUGUCAUAUUGAUUUGACCCCUACAGUUGCUUUUUUUCCUGUUCUGUGAACAACAUGCUCACUUCUUGGCAGAGGUCAGAAUUAGUCUGACAGUUCCAUCAGCAAAAGCAUCCCAUUAACUUCAGCUUUCCAGUCUUACUUUAUUUUUAGAAGAUUAAUAUAUUAGCAGAAAUUUACAACAAGCAUUACAUUUUGAUUAUUCUAAGCUUGAGCCUACGGGCAGCACAGCCUGCCUUGUUGUUUUGGAAUAUUCUCUCCUUAACAUGCGUCUAAGAACACCACUGGCAUGAAGAGCAUCACUUCUGCAUAAAGCUAAAGCCCGUUUUGAUUCAUUUUUAGGUUAUAUUGGCUUGUGGGCUUGUUUGUUUGUUGUUCUUUGGUUGGUGAGGUUUUAGGUUUCCUUGUACGGUUGUUCUGCUAUCUUUAUUUCAGGGCCAGUUUGUGUGCUCACACGUAUGUACGCAUGUGUGUAUAAAUAAGCUUCUAAAUUAUUUUAAAGGGUCAAGAUACAUAUGGGUGUAAGUGCUUUAGGACUAGAAGGUCACUAAUGCAGAUUGUGUAGCUGACGAGGCAACAUUUGCAACUGCCACAAGCUCCUCCGCGGACCUGACGACCGGCGGUCACACAGGUGGCUGUCUGCCCUCCCUUGCAGCUCCCCAUUCCUGGUGGUUUGCUCACCAACACGAGGUGCAACCAACACUUUGCCUAAGAGGUUCCCGCAGUUCCAAACACAGUGGGGCCCAGAGGUGCCCCCCAGCUAUCUCCUUUCCCCACAGGCUGUAUGCUGAGGGCUGGACGCUGCACUGCAGACCCGUUCUGCCACCGAGCUGCGUACGUUGCCUCCAAUGCCCUCUGCAGUGCUGAGGUCGUUUAAAAAGGAGAAGGAAGAAAAGAAAAUUGUACCCUAAAAGUUGCCAUGGAGUAGCAGUCCAGUCUGGCUUAAUGUGAGCUGAAGCAAAGAAAAAGGUGGUUCCCCUCCACUUAAGGGAGUGCCUGUUGAGGCUGAAGAAGCCUGUAUUUGGCUGCAGAAGCUAUUUUUCCAGCUUGUCUGCAGACCCAACACUUCAUCAAGUCUUCAUCACUCAAGGACUAAAAAGCUUAAAUUCUGCAGCACUGCAACCAGUCUCUAAGAAAAAAGUUAUUGCUGUUGUCUUGGACAAACUCAAGUCCCUGUCCCCCACUUCAAGAAAAAAAAAGGAAGUUCAAAAUAAAGGUCACUCCUCUUUGUAUUUACAUUUUUUUAAAAACCUUUAUCACAUGUACUGCUUCUCAAGCAAUACUGUUUAUUUCAGUGAUAUCAAAUGUGGAGCAGACAGCCCUGUGAUGCUCAGAGGAAUCGGUGUCAGCGGAUCAGACAGCCUACGAGGGGCCGUGGCUCCUUCCCAUGUGGCAGGGUCGGCCGAGGCUCGGCACAACACAAACCCUCUUGGAAAGGGCCAUGCUGCACAGUGUGCAUCCCGGGGAGCAGGGGCUUCCUUCUUCGGGCCGCCGUAAGGAGAAGUCAUGGUGCUGCUGGCGGGGAAGAAAGUGUCAGGAAGAG